rnacentral:rRNA from 1 species
CAGAGACUGCAAGCGUUAUUCGGAUUCACUGGGCGUAAAGGGUGCGCAGGCGGCCAAGUGUGUGAGGCGUGAAAGCCUGGGGCUUAACUCCAGAAUUGCACCUCGAACUACAUGGCUGGAGCAUUGGAGAGGGUAGCAGAAUUCACGGUGUAGCAGUGAAAUGCGUAGAUAUCGUGAGGAAUACCAGAGGCGAAGGCGGCUACCUGGACAAUUGCUGACGCUCAGGCACGAAAGCGUGGGGAGCAAAAGGGAUUAGAUACCCCUGUAGUCCACGCCCUAAACGGUGCACACUAGGCCUUGGCGGAUUCGACCCCCCCAGGGCCCAAGCUAACGCGUUAAGUGUGCCGCCUGAGGACUACGGCCGCAAGGCUA